ACCGAUUAAGGGUAUAUAGACGUGGCUAUUUAUUCUUCAAGUUCCCAUUGGAUGAACCUGAUAUUAUGAAGCAGUGGAUCGCAAAUAUAAACAUUGGACCGCGGUCUCCAUCAAGUGAUAGCUUUCUGUGUUCCGACCACUUUGAACCCUCUUGCUUUCAGAAGAAAAGUAAAAAUUAUAUAACUUUACGAAAAGGCAGUAUCCCAACGUUAUUUGGUGAAAACUUGCAGCAGACCGAAUUACAGGAUGAAUCCGAUCGGCCCACCACAGUGAAUGUAACCAAAUUACAUGAGCACCUACACAUUUUUACCUGAUUUGCAUGCUCAG